AGUGAACGCUGGCGGUAGGCCUAACACAUGCAAGUCGAACGGCAGCACAGGAGAGCUUGCUCUCUGGGUGGCGAGUGGCGGACGGGUGAGGAAUACAUCGGAAUCUACUCUGUCGUGGGGGAUAACGUAGGGAAACUUACGCUAAUACCGCAUACGACCUACGGGUGAAAGCAGGGGAUCUUCGGACCUUGCGCGAUUGAAUGAGCCGAUGUCGGAUUAGCUAGUUGGCGGGGUAAAGGCCCACCAAGGCGACGAUCCGUAGCUGGUCUGAGAGGACGAUCAGCCACACUGGAACUGAGACACGGUCCAGACUCCUACGGGAGGCAGCAGUGGGGAAUCUUGCACAAUGGGCGAAAGCCUGAUGCAGCAACGCCGCGUGAGUGAAGAAGGCCUUUGGGUUGUAAAGCUCUUUCGGUUGGGAAGAAGGGAAUAUGGGCUAAUACCUCAUAUUUUUGACGGUACCAGCAUAAGAAGCACCGGCUAAUUCCGUGCCAGCCGCCGCGGUAA
rnacentral:rRNA from 1 species